AUACGGAGGAUCCGAGCGUUAUCCGGAUUUAUUGGGUUUAAAGGGUGCGCAGGCGGCCAUUUAAGUCAGCGGUUAAAUCGUGGGGCUCAACCCCAUUCUGCCGUUGAUACUGGGUGGCUUGAUUGCGGUCGAGGUUGGCGGAAUUCGUUGUGUAGCGGUGAAAUGCAUAGAUAUGACGAAGAACACCGAUUGUGUAGGCAGCACCACACAUCGCAAAUGACCAUCAUCCACGACAGUGCGGAGAUCGAACAGUAUUAGAAACCAUGGCCGGGUGAAGCCGAAACGUUGAACACUUGAUUUCGGCGAUAUAAUGCCGGAGGCAAAGCGAAAGUGAUAAGUAUUACCCCUGGGGAGUACGGCGGUACCGCGGAAACUGACAUGAAUUGCCGGGG
rnacentral:rRNA from 1 species